rnacentral:rRNA from 1 species
AUGAUGCAGAAGCAGUUAACUGCUGUUGCUUCACUCAUAAUGAGUGCAGGGCUCACAUUUCCCCUUUUCUUCACACUUUGCAUUACCCUCACAAUCAUCAUGGACAGUUCCAGUUUCAUUGGAACUUUCCAAAUCAAUGGCACACACACAGGAACAGGGUGCAACACACUUCUCACUCAAGCAAGCACAGUUCUGGUUUAUGGUGUUUGGUCUUCACUUCAGGCUGCAUCCUGGGAGAAGUUGGAGGGUGGGAGCACUGGGCCGAAUAACUUGAUGAUUGAUGGCAAUUCUCACCUCUGA